GUAACUUUUGAUGUGAAGCAUGAAUGCUUCACAUUUCUUACCAUUAUUAAAUGAUAUGGAAUAAAGGAGGAGUGUUUAAAAAGGAAAAACACACAAAAAUUUAUACACACACACACCUGUGUGAGAGCAGGGAAUACUUGGAGAGAUGUCAAAACCAAAAGGCAAGUUCAUGGCAAAAUUUAAGUGUUGAGAAAUUAAUUGGUUUAAUAAAUACCAAAACCUAAAGUGUCUGCAUUUAACAAAUUAUUUAGCCUGUCUUAUGCCAUCACUGUAAAGGACACUUCACUUUUCCAUUAAGGAUGAGCCUGGACUUCCCUGAAGAUGCACCCAAAAGACCGUGAUAUACUGGUGAACAGCAAGGAGUUCAGCAGAACUCAAAACAGAUUCUUGGCCACAUCUAAAUUUUGUUCAUUGACUUAUGGGCAUUUGUUCUGAGGACUUGGUUUUACAAGGCCCGCUCCUGUUAUAUAAUAUUAUUUUAAGGUAUGUUAUGUUUGUUUAUGUUGCAUUUGUUUAACUCUGUGAAGCUGUGUUACUUUGCCGGUUUAAAACACUUGAUGGUCUAAUAAAGAACUUAACGGCAGGAGAAAGGAUAGGAGUCAGAAAGGAUAAACAGAAGGAGAGAUCUAGGAGGAAGAGAAGUAGCAAAAGGAGGAGGAGGACAUCAGGGCCAGCUACACAGCAAGCCAUGGAGCAAGAGUAAGAAAUAUAGAAGUAGCAAAAGAAAAAAAGCCCAGAGGCAAAAGGUAGAUGGGAUAAUUUAAGUUAAGGAAAGCUGGCAAGAAACAAACCAAGCUAAGGCCAGGCAUUGCUAAUUAAGAAUAAGCCUCCAUGUGUGAUUUAUUUGGGAGCUAGGUGGCAGGUCCACCAAAGAGACAAAGAGCGAAAACAAACAACAACACACUCCUUCAAAAGCUAUAAUUCUUCCUUCUUCCCUUAAGUUCAAGUGACCAUAUAGUCGCCAAGUAACCACAUAUGGUAAAGACUGCUUAGGUGCUCAUCAAGUCUGUUAGUAUUUCCUAAACAUGUACUUAAAGAAUAUUACCCAAUCUGUGGCUUAGUAGAGGGUCUCAUGACCCAGAGAGCAUGGGCAGAACUGACUUUCUGACUCACCCAGGAUGUCUCUCCCAUUUCAAUUUAUUAAACCUUUCUGGAAUGGGUAAGGGAUGAAACACUGCAAGAUGACAAGAACUAUGGUCUCUGAGUUUCCUCCUGUCCUGAAGCUUUUCAGCCAACAUGGCUAUAAAGUGAUCGGCUACUCUGGUCUAGACUGUAUUGUGCCAUGAAGACUUCGGAGUUUUUUUCCUUAGCACUAAAAUUUCUUAAUGUAAAGCCUCUUUAGCUUGGGAUUUGACUGUCGGAGCAGUCACAGAAAACAACAGAUUUCAUCCUUUCUGCACUUUAUCCUGUUUUUCUCAAGCCUCUCCGCCCACCUCCUUCUUCCCUCCCUUUGCCCACUCCUCCUUUUCUCCUUAUCUCCUUCAUGUCCCCUCUUCCUCAUUAAUGGAGAUGGUGCUGAGGACUGAACACGAGGCCUUGCACAUGCUAGUCAAGUGCUCUACCACUGAGACACGUCCUGAGCUGAGUUCACCCUUUUAAUGAACAUAUAAAUGGUCAACUGUGAGUGCUAACACUAUGCAUCUGGAGACACCAAAAGGAUCUCAGGCCCUGUGAUGGAUGGCGAGGGAGGCAGCUGCUGAGCACAGGAAGGCCAGGCUGUCAAAAGGUCAUGGAAAUCAGAGGACACAGUUUGGAUGAAAGUUGGCUCUUUUCCCAUGUAAACUGCUUCUAAUAUUGUAAAAGUCAUUUCAUUUUUUAACAGCUUUAUUGAGAUAUAACUUAAAUAUCAUAUAAUUCACACAUUUAAAGUGUACAUUUCAAUGAUUUUUAACAUAGUCACAGACUUGUGCAAACAUUACCACAGCCAAUUUCAGAACAUUUCCAUAAUCCCAACUUAAACUUACACCCUGCAACUAUCACCUAUCUAUUUCUAAUUACCACAGGCCCAGAAACCACUAGUCUCUACUCUGUAUUUGUAGAUUUGUCUGAAGACUUUCAGAUAAAUGGAUUCACAUAACACACUACCCUUUGUUCUUUCCCUUAGCAUUGUGUCUCCAAGAUCCAUUCAUUUAUUUUAAUAGUUGAAUCAUAUACCACACUUAUUUGUUUAGUAAAUGACACUGAUUUUGGCUGCUCCCAUCUACUUACAACUGAAUAAUGAAGCAGCAGAAGUUUUAUACAGUGAGAUACUAUCCUUUGUCCUUAUGACAUAGAUGGUUAUUGUUUGUAGAUUUUCUUUAUAUAUCAAUAAUACAAGCCUGUUAUGUGACAUGUGGAUUGUAAAUAUCUUCUCCUAUCCUUCAGUCUUUUGUCUUUAUUAAUCAUCUCCUUUGAAGCACAAACGUUUCUAUGUUUCUAGGGCAUUAUCUGCAGUGGAAUAUGUGGGGUCAUAUGCUGGGCCUAUGCUAAUCACUGAAGGAAUUACCGAAGAAUUUGAAAAGUUAUGACAGCAGGGCACAUCCCUAUCAGCAAUCAUUAAGGGUUCUGAUGUUUUCACAUCCUUGCUGCCAUUUAUUUCACUUUCGUAUCCUAUGUGAAAUAAUAACUAUGCCAUCCUAGAGGAAAAGAAGUGAUAUCUCAUUAUAGUUUCCAUUUUUAUUUCCCUGAAUGCUUCAGCAUUUUUUCAUGCGCAUGUUGGCCACUUCAUAUAUUAUUUGAUGAAAUUUUAUUUAUAACUUGUGUCCACUAGUAAUUAAGAUGUCUUCCAUCCUAACUCACCCUGGUGGAUGGAGACAGGGGAGAGCUGGUGGGCUGACAAACCCUGCAGGUACUCAGGCCAAGGACCAGGGUUAAGUGCUGGCCCGCCCCACCAUCCAGCCCAUCUGUGAUCUGCUGGAGCACUGGUGGAGGCUCAGUCCUGUGGACCAAGGGCUACAGGAUCUCCAUGACACAGAACAGCAACAGGAUGUCCAGGAAGAGUCCCAGUGAUGGUCCAGUGCCGAUAGUGCAGCGGAGACCAGGGACCUUGAGCUAAACUAAUGAUUCUUUGUGAUGAGUACCUACAGGUAAAAACAUGUGGAAAAAGGAGUCUGCAUGACUCACUGUGUCACACCACAGCUUCCAUAGGGAGAUGUUUCUCUUUCUUCCUUUUUCUCUUUUUUUGGCUUAA